rnacentral:misc_RNA from 1 species
GCUUGAUGCGUUAUGGAGUUAAGCUGACCUAAGAACAAGUUUGUUCUUUGAUCUGGUUGAACCAAGGGUAAACACUCUCCAAAACUCAUCACUUGCUUCUGAUCACUGCUGUUUUCAGAUUCAAAGCCACUGAAUGUUUUUGAAGUUGAAAUAUCAGAUGAGUUUGGCUUCUUCUUUGUCUGCUUCCAAUCUACAGGUGUGUACCUUUUGCACGAUGGUAUUCGCUUGAAUAUGCGACAAAGUGUCCAAACUUCAGCUUGUUGAGCAACAGUAGCCG